UUUCGCAAUGCCCGAAAGGGUGACGAAGCGACGCCGCGUGUGGGAAGAAGGCCUUCGGGUUGUAAACCACUGUCGGGAGUUAAGAAAUGUAAGGGUGUUAAUAGUAUCCUUACUUGACUAAGGCUCCGGAGGAAGCCACGGCUAACUCUGUGCCAGCAGCCGCGGUAAUACAGAGGCGGCAAGCGUUGUUCGGAAUUACUGGGCGUAAAGAGCACGUAGGCGGCUUUGUAAGUCAGUUGUGAGAGCCUUCUGCUUAACGGAAGAACAGCACCUGAUACUGCAAGGCUAGAGUAUGGAAGGGGAGAGUGGAACUUCUGGUGGAGCGGUGAAAUGCGUAGAUAUCAGAAGGAACACCGGCGGCGAAGGCGACUCUCUGGUCCGUAACUGACGCUGAGUGUGCGAAAGCUAGGGGAGCAAACGGGAUUAGAUACCCCGGUAGUCCUAGCCGUAAACGAUGGGCACUAAGUAGAGGGGUUUUA
rnacentral:rRNA from 1 species